AAAAGGGCAAAGGAAGCUUCGUAGGAAAGUGAGACCCAUGCAACACGUUUCCUUUUUUUUUCUUUGUUUUUACGCCUGACAUAAUCCCGUUAUCAAAAUAUUCCACCAGUCGCAAAUAAAUAUUUGUUUCAAAGACAAGUUGUUUUGAAGCUUUCAAACAUCGAGGGGGUUGCUCUACGAGUCUACGGCCUUUAUUAAGUUGAAAUUUAAAAGUUUUGUAUAUUUCUACCGCUUGGCGAUUGGGUUAGCUGAUUCUGACGUGGGUCUUCUUGUUUGGGCGAUGGUCUGCUCGUUUGUAACCUUUAAAUAAGGUAUAGCAUGUGUGUAAACCUGUACAUGUUGCUGUUUUCAUUAUUUUCUCGGCUGUUUACGCAUAAUCGAGGAUUGCAUGUUGUAAUGGGGUUUCUCGGGGUUCAGUGGGACUUGAAAGAUUGAAGAUUUGAUGGGUUUCUUGGGCACUGAUGGGCGUUGAAUUUGGAGUCUUGGUGGUUCUGAAGUGUCCAGUGGGUUUGUAGGAAAUUUGGUGAAUUAUAUUGAUUUGGGUUCGUUCUGGAUCCGAGUGUCGCCUCUGUCUUGUUUUGAGGCAGUUAGGGUUGAUUUGAUGCCAUCUUCUUCUUCGUGUAUAUUACUGAUUUGGUUCUCAAUAGAUAGAAAACGUGGCGUUUUGAGGUUGAAACAUUGCAAUUCCCCGUGAAGUGCGGAGUUUUGAAUGAUAUAAUUUUUUUAUUUUAUUGGACAGGGAAGUUGAUUCAGGUUUUUGUGGAUUGGAUUGGUUUGAUAAACUUCCUUGUUGUUAUUGGAUUGAUUAUUCCAAGGUAAGCUACAAAUCAUGGACUUAGAUCCUGAAGAACCAGCGGUUAAUGGAGAGGCAGAUGUAAUGGACAGGGACCUCUUGGGAGACACUCCUCUCAGGGAGCCCCCUCUCUACUGGACCCAUUUUCAGGGUAUGGUGAGACAGAAAGCCUAUAUUUUUGAUGGCCUUGGGAACUUCUAUAAUAAGGAAUGGGAUCUUGCAGAGGGUGGAGGCAAUGAGUUUUGUUGGUACCAUGUGGAGCUUCCAAGAGUAAAUGAAAAACUGUCACAAUCUGCACAAUACCUCAUUGGUGUUCUUUGUCCACCUUUGAAACUCCAAGACAUUCUUUCACUCGUCAGCAAUGGACCCUUUUGUGGGCAUGUUGAUGGGGCUCUUGUCUUCAGAAUUAAUUCACCUGGCCCUGCCUCGAGCGAUUUUACAUUUAGAAUUGCUGCUAGAGUUACUGAGAAUUCAGUCAUCACAGUAUCUUUAGGUCGUGUUCCUAGAUUGGGCUUCUCACGGAUGGCUCAGUCUCUUCUCUCAGAGAUUCCUAGAGUUGAGAGUUCGUAUCUUAGGGGUGAACAUAAGGAAGGGGGUGGAACUGUUAUCAGGGAGCAUGUUCUCGAGUUCUUGUUGACAAUGAAUCACUCUGAGGAGGCUGAUAAUCCCGUGCCAAAAUCUAUCUCUAAUCUUGUUGUUCACAUUCUUGACACACAUGUGGAUCACCUUCAAGAUGUUGUGACUAAACUUGAGAUGGAGCUGGAUUCUGUGGAGCUUCAAUUGGAUAAAGGUGGGUUUGCUUUGAAGAAGCAAAUGCUAGAUGAUAGAAGAUUCCCCAAAAUGCAUAUUAAUUUGCAGCGCCUUCUGCAGGUGAUAGCGCAUGGGGAGCAAGUAUUUCCACGGGUGAAAGAGAAAUGUUCUUCAAAAAGUUGGUUUGGUAUCGAAGACAUUAACUCCCUUGAAGAGUUGAUCGGACGUUUAGGGAGGCUAAAAGACAAUGUGGGGUUCAUAGCAAAUCGUGUCACAGCAAUUCAAGCAGGACUUGAUAGCUGGCAGGCCGAGCAAAUAAACAGGAAACUAUAUUAUCUUUCAUUCCUUUCCAUAAUAUUCCUUCCGCUGUCCAUCAUCACCGGGGUGUUUGGCAUGAAUGUGGGAGGAGUUCCAUGGACAGGGCAAAUGAACUCAAAGUCAAAAGAUGGUUUCCGGAAUGUUAUGUUACUCUGCGUGGCAAUGCUACUUGUGGUACUGAUGUGCUUCUGUUUCCCUGCUCUUUAUACCCAUUUAGCUGCUUGGCAGCGGAGGAGGGUUAUGAGAAGAAGCUGGUCUCUUAACAGGAAGUCAAUCCUCAUGAGAACCGCAGGAAAUGGAGGAGCUCAAGAAAGAGGAGGUUACCUUCGGAUUUGAAUGGAACUGAAAAUGUGUUUAUUAUCUUCCUUUAGCCAGCAAUGUGAAGCCAGUGUGGGCUCCCUCAAAGCUGGGCUACAAUUGGGCAAGUUUGACGAGUGCAUUCAGUUCAAAGUCUGCUGCGAGUGAUGUUGUCGGCAUCGACUUGGGAACAACCAACUCAUGUGUUGCGG